rnacentral:rRNA from 1 species
CAGUAGCCACGGUAACACGUAGGGUGCGAGCGUUGUCCGGAAUUACUGGGCGUAAAGGGCUCGUAGGUGAUUUGUCGCGUCGUCUGUGAAAUUCCGGGGCUUAACUCCGGGCGUGCAGGCGAUACGGGCAUAACUUGAGUACUGUAGGGGUAACUGGAAUUCCUGGUGCAGCGGUGAAAUGCGCAGAUAUCAGGAGGAACACCGAUGGCGAAGGCAGGUUACUGGGCAGUUACUGACGCUGAGGAGCGAAAGCAUGGGUAGCGAACAGGAUUAGAUACCCCGGUAGUCCCUGUCUCUUAUU